UACAGGGGGGGCAAGCGUUGUUCGGAAUUACUGGGCGUAAAGGGUUUGUAGGUGGCUUGCUAAGUCAGACGUGAAAUCCCUCAGCUUAACUGGGGAACUGCGUCUGAUACUGGCGAGCUUGAGUGCAGGAGAGGAACGCGGAAUUCCAGGUGUAGCGGUGAAAUGCGUAGAUAUCUGGGGGAACACCGGUGGCGAAGGCGGCGUUCUGGACUGCAACUGACACUGAAAAACGAAAGCCAGGGGAGCAAACGGG
rnacentral:rRNA from 1 species